ensembl:lncRNA
GCACAGCACUGCACAGGAUAUUGAUGGUGUUAUGGGGUUGUUAUGGGGUGCUAUGGGUUGUUCUAUGGGGUGCUAUGGGGUUGUUAUAGGGUUGUUAUGGGGUUGUUAUGGGGUUGUUAUGGGGCGCUCUAUGGGGCCGUUCCCAUUACACCCAGUAUAUGGGCACGGUGCUGCACAGGAUGUUGGUGGUGUUAUGGGGUUGUUAUGGGGUGUUAUGGGGCACUCUAUGGGGUGCUCUAUGGGGUGAUGUUGUUAUGGGGUUGUUAUGGGGCGCUCUAUGGGGCUGUCCCAUUACACCCAGUAUAUGGGCACGGUGCUGCACAGGAUGUUGGUGGUGGUGCCCAAAAUGGAGCGAUCAGAGACGGGGGGAGAUGGAACCGACUGCGGGGGGAGAUGGGGGUUAAUAUGGGAUGGAUGGGGGUUAAUAUUAUGGGAUGGAUGGGGGUUAAUAUGGGAUGGAUGGGGGUUAAUAUGGGAUGGAUGGGGGUUAAUAUUAUGGGAUGGAUGGGGGUUAAUAUGGGAUGGAUGGGGGUUAAUAUUAUGGGAUGGAUGGGAUAUUAUGGGAUAAAUGGGAUGGGAUGGGGUUGGGGUAUGGGGUUGGAUGGGAUGGAUGGGAUAAAUGAGAUGGGAUGGGGAUGGGAUGAGAAGGGGGAGGAUAUGGGGUUGGGAUAGGAUGGGAUGAAUGGGAUGGGAUGGGAUGGGAUGGGAUGGGAUGGAUGGGAUAUUAUGGGAUGGGGUGGUAUGGGAUGGGGUUGAUGGGAUGGGAUAUUAUGGGAUGGAAUGGGAUGGAUGGGAUGGGAUGGGGAUGUGAUGGAUGAGAUGAUGUGGGGUUAGGAUAUAGGGUUGGGAUGGGAUGGAUGGGAUGGAGAUGGGAUAUAGGGUUGGGAUGGGAUGGAGAUGGGGAUGGGGUUGGGGUUGGAUGGGAUGGGAUGGGGAUGGGGUUGGGGUGGAUGGGGUUUAAUAUAAUGGGAUGGGAUGGAGAUGUAUGGGAUAUUAUGGGAUGGGAUGGAUGAGAUGGGAUGGGAUGGAUGGAUGGGAUGGUAUGGAUGGGUUGGGAUGGAUGGAGAUGGGAUGGGAUGGAGAUGAAUGGGAUGGGAUGGUGUGGGGUUGGGAUAUGGGGUUGGGAUGGGAUAUGGGAUGGGAUGGGAUGGGGAUGGGAUAUUAUGGGAUGGGAUGGGAUGGGAUGGGAUAGGAUGGGAUAUGGGAUAUGGGAUGGGAUGGGGAUGGGAUGGGAUGGGACACGAUGGGAUGGGAAUGAGAUGGAUGGGGUGGGGUGGGGUGGGGUUGGGAUGGGAUGGGAUGGAUGGGGGUUAAUAUUAUGGGAUGGGAUGGAUGAGAUGGGAUAUUAUGGGAUGUAUGGGCUGAGAUGUAUGGGGUGGGAUGGAAUAGAAUAGGGAUGGGAUGUAUGGGAUGGGAUGGGAUGGGACAUAAUGGGAUGGGAUAUUAUGGGAUGGGAUGGGAUGGGAUGGGAUGGGAUGUGAUGUAUGGGAUGGAUGUGAUAUUAUGUGAUGGAUGGGCUGUGAUAGGUGCUGUGUUGCUGUGUGUCCCGGUCCCGGUUCGGUCCGUCCCGUUUCUCACCCGGCUGUUCUGGAAUCGCUCCGUCACAUCGUCCAGCCCCGGCAGCUCCGCCCCGUCCACGCGGGACACGAGACACGAGCGGCGCCGCCACGAC